rnacentral:ncRNA from 1 species
UGGUCAAGUUUUAAGAGCAUUCGGUGGAUGCCUUGGCACCAGGAGCCGAAGAAGGACGUUGUAGCCUGCGGAUAAGCCUCGGGGAGCUGGCAAACGAGCUGUGAUCCGAGGGUGUCCGAAUGGGGAAACCCGGCCAGAGUCAUGUCUGGUUACCCGCGCCUGAAUAUAUAGGGCGUGUGGGGGGAACGCGGGGAAGUGAAACAUCUCAGUACCCGCAGGAAGAGAUAUUCCGUGAGUAGUGGCGAGCGAAAGCGGACGAGGCUAGACCGGGGGUGUGUGACAGCCGGCGGGCGUUGCACCCUCGGGGUCGUGGGACCUGCUGACCAGCUCUGCCGGGCUGGUGGGGAGUG